rnacentral:rRNA from 1 species
AUUGAACGCUGGCGGCAUGCUUUACACAUGCAAGUCGAACGGUAACAGGGAGCUUGCUCCGCUGACGAGUGGCGAACGGGUGAGUAAUGCGUCGGAACGUGCCGAGUAGUGGGGGAUAACGCAUCGAAAGGCGUGCUAAUACCGCAUACGUACUGAGGUAGAAAGUGGGGGACCUUCGGGCCUCACGCUAUUCGAGCGGCCGACGUCUGAUUAGCUAGUUGGUGAGGUAAAGGCUCACCAAGGCGACGAUCAGUAGCGGGUCUGAGAGGAUGAUCCGCCACACUGGGACUGAGACACGGCCCAGACUCCUACGGGAGGCAGCAGUGGGGAAUUUUGGACAAUGGGCGCAAGCCUGAUCCAGCCAUGCCGCGUGUCUGAAGAAGGCCUUCGGGUUGUAAAGGACUUUUGUCCGGGAGCAAAUGCCUGGUGUUAAUAGCACUGGGAGCUGAGAGUACCGGAAGAAUAAGCACCGGCUAACUACGUGCCAGCCGCCGCAGUAACAC